GAUGAACGCUGGCGGCGUGCCUAAUACAUGCAAGUCGAGCGAACGGACGAGAAUCUUGCUUCUCUGAUGUUAGCGGCGGACGGGUGAGUAACACGUGGAUAACCCACCUAUAAGACUGGGAUAACGUCGGGAAACCGGAGCUAAUACCGGAUAAUAUUUUGAACCGCAUGGUUCAAAAGUGAAAGACGGUCUUGCUGUCACGUAUAGAUGGAUCCGCGCUGCAUUAGCUAGUUGGUAAGGUAACGGCUUAUCAAGGCAACGAUGCAUAGCCGACCUGAGAGGGGGAUCGGCCACACUGGAAGUGGGACGCGGUCCAGACUCCUACGGGAGGCAGCAGUAGGGAAGCUUCCGCAAUGGGCGAAAGCCUGACGGAGCAACGCCGCGUGGGUGAUGAAGGUCUUCGGAUCGUAAAACUCUGUUAUUAGGGAAGAACAUUUGUGUAAGUAACUGUGCACAUCUUGACGGUACCUAGUCAGAAAGCCACGGCUAACUACGUG
rnacentral:rRNA from 1 species